rnacentral:rRNA from 1 species
AUGAAGGGUGCAAGCGUUACUCGGAAUUACUGGGCGUAAAGCGUGCGUAGGUGGUUCGUUAAGUCUGUCGUGAAAGCCCCGGGCUCAACCUGGGAAUGGCGAUGGAUACUGGCGGGCUAGAGUGCGGUAGAGGAGAGUGGAAUUCCCGGUGUAGCAGUGAAAUGCGUAGAUAUUGGGAGGAACACCAGUGGCGAAGGCGGCUCACUGGACCGGAACUGACGCUGAGGCGCGAAAGCGUGGGGAGCAAACGGGA